rnacentral:rRNA from 1 species
UGGGGAAUUUUGGACAAUGGGGGCAACCCUGAUCCAGCCAUGCCGCGUGCGGGAAGAAGGCCUUCGGGUUGUAAACCGCUUUUAGUCGGGAAGAAAAGGCGCGGCCUAAUACGUCGCGUUCUUGACGGUACCGGCGGAAUAAGCACCGGCUAACUACGUGCCAGCAGCCGCGGUAAUACGUAGGGUGCGAGCGUUAAUCGGAAUUACUGGGCGUAAAGCGUGCGCAGGCGGUUCGUUAAGUCUGAUGUGAAAGCCCCGGGCUCAACCUGGGAAUGGCAUUGGAAACUGGCGGGCUUGAGUGUGGCAGAGGGGGGUGGAAUUCCGCGUGUAGCAGUGAAAUGCGUAGAGAUGCGGAGGAACACCGAUGGCGAAGGCAGCCCCCUGGGCUAACACUGACGCUCAGGCACGAAAGCGUGGGGAGCAAACAGG